rnacentral:lncRNA from 1 species
GGGUAUAUGAGUAUGGGAUUUUUAACUGUGGAAUGGAUAUAAAUAUCGGUUGACCGGACUCAUUCUCAGCCCAUUGCCAUCCCUGGGUUCGAAUAGGGGAUAUCCAAGAGGUAAAUUCUAAAUCCAUCCCAAACUUAAAUAGAUGUUAAUUUUAAAUUCCAAAAAUAUGCAAAGAUAUAUUAGUAUUUUUUUUAUAUGGAUUAUUUUGUAAUUAUAAUAAUUAAUAUGAUAUUUUGAUAAUCAUAAAUUUAUUAUUUUGAUAAAAGAAGGGGUAGAGAGAGAAGAGAA